rnacentral:rRNA from 1 species
GACGAACGCUGGCGGCGUGCCUAAUACAUGCAAGUAGAACGCAGUUGCGAACGGGUGAGUAACGCGAAGGUAACGGCCUCUUAGCGGGGGAUAACUAUUGGAAACGUUAGCUAAUACCCCCUAUUGUGAGAUGGACUUCCGUUUUUUUAGCUAGUUGGUGAGGUAAAGGCUCACCAAGGCGACGAUACAGAGCCGACCUGAGAGGGGGGUGGGUCACACUGGGACUGAGCAUCGGCCCAGACACAAAAGGGAGGCAGCAGUAGGGAAGCUUCGGCAAUGUACGGGAGACUGAGCUAGCAACGCCGCGUGAGCGAAGAAGGUUGUCGGUUCGUAAAGCUCUGUUGUUAGAGAAGCGGUAACUAACCAGAAAGGGACGGCUAACUACGUGCCAGCAGCCGCGGUAAUAC